rnacentral:rRNA from 1 species
AAACUUGAGAGUUUGAUCCUGGCUCAGAACGAACGCUGGCGGCAGGCUUAACACAUGCAAGUCGAACGGUUGUAGCAAUACAGCAGUGGCAGACGGGUGAGUAACACGUGGGAACCUUCCUAGGGGUACGGAACAACUCAGGGAAACUUGAGCUAAUACCGUAUACGUCCGUGAGGAGAAAGAUUUAUCGCCCCUAGACGGGCCCGCGUAGGAUUAGGUAGUUGGUGAGGUAACGGCUCACCAAGCCUACGAUCCUUAGCUGAUCUGAGAGGAUGAUCAGCCACACUGGGACUGAGACACGGCCCAGACUCCUACGGGAGG